UUAUAACUUAAUUAAUAAUGAUUUGAUUUAUAGAUUUUUAAAGCAAUACAAGAUUGAAUUUAGCAUAAGGCUAAAUUUCUGCUCUAAAGACAAAAAAGGGAGACAGCGAAAAUGACCAGUCAAAAUAAAGAUUGAAGAGACAAAAAAUAGUGUAUAUCUUGGUGUAGAUGAUUUAUCCUCAUUUUCUAAUAAUAAAACAAAAAAUGUUAUUAAACUUUGGGAUUUACCUGUAACUCCAAAAUCUUUACAGAAGUUUAAUGUUUGCUCUGAGAAGUUGAAUUAACAAAAUUAUUAAAGGUGUUCAUUCUUAGUCAUCAUUGAAGUACAACUUGGUAAACUACAAAAUACAUCAAAUUCAGUUAUAAAAAUUUGAGUAACAAAGGUAUACUAAUUAUUGUAUUGCCUGAAAGAGUGCCAUUGCUAUUAAAAGCAGUGAAGAAUUCAAGUACUCUGGAAGAAAAGAAAAUACGUAAGUAAAUGGUCAAUUAUUUGGCACAAAUCGGAGUUAUAGACAAAGGAGAUUGUAUAUUUUAUUUGCUAAGAAUAGUUUUUUAAAAUGGCCUAGUUGUAAAAUUAAACUAUGCAGGGAGAGGACAAAAAAUUGGAAUAGAAAAAAUAUUGAUUGCAUAUGCUG